rnacentral:rRNA from 1 species
AUUGAACGCUGGCGGCAUGCCUUACACAUGCAAGUCGAACGGUAACAGGUCUUCGGAUGCUGACGAGUGGCGAACGGGUGAGUAAUACAUCGGAACGUGCCCAGACGUGGGGGAUAACGAGGCGAAAGCUUUGCUAAUACCGCAUACGAUCUAAGGAUGAAAGCAGGGGACCGCAAGGCCUUGCGCGUUUGGAGCGGCCGAUGGCAGAUUAGGUAGUUGGUGGGAUAAAAGCUUACCAAGCCGACGAUCUGUAGCUGGUCUGAGAGGACGACCAGCCACACUGGGAAUGGGACAAGGCCCAGACUCCUAAGGGAGGCAGCAGUGGGGAAUUUUGGACAAUGGGCGAAAGCCUUAUCCAGCAAUGCCGCGUGCAGGAUGAAGGCCUUCCGGUUUGAAACUGGUUUUGUACGGAACGAAAAGGCUCUGGCUAAUACCUGGGGCACAUGACGGUACCGUAAGAAUAAGCACCGGCUAACUACGUG